AGUGAAAACCCUACUUCUUCCAUCUCACCUGCGCCGCUCACCAGCCUCGCCUAUCCUCCACCUGCACCUGCGCCGCUCAGCCCCUCCGGCCUUCCCCACCUCCGGUCUGCUGCAGAGCAGAGCAGCGUGAGCAUAGCAGCGCACGCCGCACCUCCUUCCACCUCCGGUAGCAGCCCCUCCGGCAGCAGCCCCUCCGGCCUUCCCCACCUCCGGUCUGCUGCAGAGCAAAGCAGCAUGAGCAGCAGCAGCGCACCUGAAAUCUCCUUCCUUGAGGCAGUGGUUUGAGAGGCAGAUCGUUUUGGGAUCGAGGCAGACAAUCCCAAAUCACCUGAAUUCUCAAGAAAAAGAGGGUAAACAAAACUCACAUAGAUGAGAACAUUCUUCAAGAGUUGUUAGUUGUCUGAAAAGUUUUUGGCAGAUCGAGCAAGUCAAAGGUCUUCUCAUACUGCUUUGCCUCAAUCCCAAAUCCAUCUCACAGAAUGUGUUUGAGAGACAGAGACAUAAAAUUGAUUGUAUGUCUCACAGAAAUAAUCCCAAAUCCAUCUCACAGAAUGUGUUUGAGAGGCAGAUCGUUUCAAUAUUAGGAUUAUUAUGAAUUUUAUUUUAAUAUUUAAUUAGCUUAGAAUUUAUUUUGUAAAAUACUAUGGAUCCGGGUCUGGACCCGAGAUCCAGUGGAUCUCAUGGAUCUGGGUCUGGAUCUCAUUUUUUUGGAUCCAAUGGAUCUGGACCGGAUCUGGAUCUAAAUAAAAAAACAUGGAUCUGGAUCUGGACCAAGCAGGAUCCGGUCCAGAUCCGGCCCAUUGCCAUUCCUA
rnacentral:lncRNA from 1 species